GGGCGAAUAGCUCAGUUGGGAGAGCGCUUCCCUUACAAGGAAGAUGUCGGGGGUUCAAGUCCCUCACGGCCCACGA
rnacentral:tRNA from 1 species